GUUGAACGCUGGCGGCGUGCCUAAUACAUGCAAGUCGAGCGAACGGACGAGAAGCUUGCUUCUCUGAUGUUAGCGGCGGACGGGUGAGUAACACGUGGAUAACCUACCUAUAAGACUGGGAUAACUUCGGGAAACCGGAGCUAAUACCUGAUGAUAUUUUGAACCGCAUGGUUCGAAAGUGAAAGACGGUCUUGCUGUCACUUAUAGAUGGAUCCGCGCUGCAUUAGCUAGUUGGUAAGGUAACGGCUUACCAAGGCAACGAUGCAUAGCCGACCUGAGAGGGUGAUCGGCCACACUGGAACUGAGACACGGUCCAGACUCCUACGGGAGGCAGCAGUAGGGAAUCUUCCGCAAUGGGCGAAAGCCUGACGGAGCAACGCCGCGUGAGUGAUGAAGGUCUUCGGAUCGUAAAACUCUGUUAUUAGGGAAGAACAUAUGUGUAAGUAACUGUGCACAUCUUGACGGUACCUAAUCAGAAAGCCACGGCUAACUACGUG
rnacentral:rRNA from 1 species